GGACUUCCGAAACCACAGCGCUGGGCAGCCACAAGGACAGAGGAGGAGACUGGCGUUUGGGAGAAGGUGUAACUUACACCAAUCCAUUUUUCUUCCAAAAAGUUCAGGACCUUGCACUUGGCCUUAUUGAAUCUCACAAGAUUUGCACAGUCCCACUUUUCUGGGCUGUCCAGGUCCCUCUGGAUGACAUCUCUCCCCUCCAGCAUGCCAAACGUGGUACUCAGCUUGUGUAGUCAACAACCUUUCUCUGCCAUCUUGCAAAAAUACUCCUUCAGUACAUGGACAUACAUGGUGGUCCAUCCACGAGCACUUUCUGCGCUCCAUGAGGUCCAUUUGAGAAGUUCUGACUCUACCAUUGCUGUUGGAGAGACACAUGCAGGAGCUGAGUUUCUUCAAUGGCAUCAUCCUCUAACAUUUAAUUGUUGUACGGGAAGGAUCAGGCUGCGUAAUUUCUAUAGCAGGUCUGCCAGUGAAUUUGCAUUUUGGUUUGCUGGAUGAAGUCACCCAUGCAGCCAGUUGGUUCCUCGGCCCUGUCACUGAAGAAGACGUCAGAGGGCUCUGCUGGAACAGAGUACGCACAGCUGAAUCUUUGCACCCAACAGGGAGUUGGCCGACACCUUGACUUCAGCUCUAGGUCUGGAGGCUACGCUUGGCAGGAGCAGAGAUGCAAUUCUCCUGCGUGCAAGAAGCCGUAGAGUUAAGUCUUCAGACGAGUCACUAAAAUUAACCUCUGUGUGAUAAGUGGCACAACUUCAGGAGGUGGAAUUAUGUGCAUUCAGGUACUGGAGAGCUGCUGAUUGGCACGUGGGUUUAAUUCAAUACUCCAAGACACCCUUCUGACUCGGGGGAAUAUUGGCACCGUGCGUGAAUGCUGCAGAGUGUUGAUGCUUCUGAGGGGGAUGACCACCUCCUGUGACAACCUGAUUUAAAUGUACAAACUUACACUAACUGUACGGACUGAAGCAUUAAAGGAGCAGCAGACACAGAGCACUCCUCUCCUCCGAGAAGCAUCUCCUGUGCCGCGGUGUACCUCAGGUUUGAUCUAUGUGGGACCAAAUUCUGUCUGCUUUUGCCUUUAUUUUGGGUUGUGAGGACAGAAGAUGACUCUGAUGGGAUGUUGUGAGACAGUCCCUGGCUGAGCAUGGGUGUCUCCUCUGCAGAGAAGGAGCAGGAGAGCCCACCUGCAGCAUCACUGCUGUGGGGUGGCAGUGGUACCCAACCAGUGCUGAUAAUGAUGAUAA